GACUAAAAGAAGUCUCUCCUGUAGGUAUCCUCUAAAUGGUUCGAUAGGUCAAAAGCACAUUAUGCAGCUCAUCCACCCAUGAUCCUUUGACCCGAUCUAACCUAGAUUUCAAAUCCUGUACAAAGAUAUGGUUAGUUACCUCAGCUUCUCCAUUGGCCUGUGGAUGUCCACCGAUGUAAGAUAAUAGAAGAUACCGAGGCUUUGAUAAAAUUUGAUAAAUUCAUAAUCGGAGAACUGAUGAUCGUUGUCCAUGAUCAGCAUCCUUGAG
rnacentral:lncRNA from 1 species